GUUAUAGGGUCAAGUGAAUAAGCGCAUACGGUGGAUGCCUAGGCGAUAAGAGGCGACGAAGGACGUAGUAGCAUGCGAUAAGCUGCGGGGAGUUUGCAAACUAACUUUGAUCCGCGGAUUUCCGAAUGGGGCAACCCAAUCAGGACAACCUGAUUAUCCUUAAGUGAAUACAUAGCUUAAGGAAGCGAACCCGGAGAACUGAAACAUCUAAGUACCCGGAGGAAAAGAAAUCAACCGAGAUUCCCCAAGUAGCGGCGAGCGAACCGGGACCAGCCGAGCAGCGACAGAUAGUGGAACAGACUGGAAAGUCCGGCCAUAGCGGGUGAUAGCCCCGUACACGAAAUCUGAAACUGACGUAUUAAGUAGGGCGGCGCACGUGAAACGCUGUCUGAAGAAGGGGGGACCAUCCUCCAAGGCUAAAUACUCCUUAUCGACCGAUAGUGAACCAGUACCGUGAGGGAAAGGCGAAAAGAACCGAGCAGUGGGAGCCCCUUCGUGGGGUGACUGCGUACCUUUUGUAUAAUGGGUCAGCGACUUACAUUUUGUGGCAAGCUUAACCGAAUAGGGGAGGCGUAGCGAAAGCGAGUCUGAACAGGGCGUUCAGUCGCAAGAUGUAGACCCGAAACCGGGCGAUCUAGCCAUGACCAGGCUGAAGGUUGGGUAAUACUAACUGGAGGGCCGAACCGGGAUCUGUUGAAAAAGAUUCGGAUGAGUUGUGGCUCGGAGUGAAAGGCUAAUCAAGCCCGGAGAUAGCUGGUUCUCCUCGAAAGCUAUUUAGGUAGCGCCUCGUGCGGACACUGUUGGGGGUAGAGCACUGUUUCGGCUAGGGGGUCAUCUCGACUUACCAACCCGAUGCAAACUCCGAAUACCAACAAGUAAUACACGGGAGACACACGGCGGGUGAUAAGGUCCGUCGUGAAAAGGGAAACAGCCCAGACCGUCAGCUGACAGCCAGGAGGUUGGCUUAGAAGCAGCCAUCCUUUAAAGAAAGCGUAAUAGCUCACUGGUCGAGUCGGUCUGCGCGGAAGAUUUACCGGGGCUAAGCUAUGUACCGAAGCUACGGAUCACGCGUAAGCGUGGUGGUAGAGGAGCGUUCCGUACGCCUGCGAAGGUGAACUGAGAAGUUUGCUGGAGGUAUCGGAAGUGCGAAUGCUGACAUGAGUAACGAUAAUGGGGGUGAAAAACCCCCACGCCGAAAACCCAAGGUUUCCUGCGCAACGCUAAUCGACGCAGGGUAAGUCGGCACCUAAGGCGAGGCCGAAAGGCGUAGUCGAUGGAAAACAGGUUAAUAUUCCUGUACCGGAAAUAACUGCGAUGGGGUGACGGAGAAGGCUAGGUCAGCUACCUGUUGGACGUGGUAGUUUAAGCGUGUAGGGAGAGAGUUUAGGCAAAUCCGGACUCUCAAUCCUGAGGCGUGAUGACGAGUUUCCUGUUAAGGAGACGAAGUGAUUGAUGCCAGGCUUCCAAGAAAAACCUCUAAGCUUCAGGUUAUUUGUGGCCGUACCCCAAACCGACACAGGUGGGUGGGAUGAGAAUUCUAAGGCGCUUGAGAGAACUCGGGUGAAGGAACUAGGCAAAAUGGUACCGUAACUUCGGGAGAAGGUACGCCUUUGGUAAGUGAAGCUCCUUGCGAGUGGAGCUGAAGAAGGCAGCAUUAAACUGGUGGCUGCGACUGUUUAGCAAAAACAUAGCACUCUGCAAACACGAAAGUGGACGUAAACGGCGGCCGUAACUAUAACGGUCCUAAGGUAGCGAAAUUCCUUGUCGGGUAAGUUCCGACCUGCACGAAUGGCGUAACGAUGGCCACACUGUCUCCACCCGAGACUCAGUGAAAUUGAAAUGGCUGUGAAGAUGCAGUGUACCCGCGGCUAGACGGAAAGACCCCGUGAACCUUUACUAUAGCUUGACACUGGACUUUGAACCUAUUUGUGUAGGAUAGGUGGGAGGCUGUGAAGCGAGGACGCCAGUCCUUGUGGAGCCACCCUUGAAAUACCACCCUGGUAUGUUCGGAGUUCUAACCUCGGCCCAUAAUCUGGGUUAGGGACAGUGUCUGGUGGGUAGUUUGACUGGGGCGGUCUCCUCCCAAAGAGUAACGGAGGAGCACGAAGGUGUGCUCAGCAUGGUCGGAAAUCAUGCAUUGAGUGUAAAGGCAAAAGCACGCUUGACUGCGAGAUAGACACAUCGAGCAGGUACGAAAGUAGGUCUUAGUGAUCCGGUGGUUCUGAAUGGAAGGGCCAUCGCUCAACGGAUAAAAGGUACUCCGGGGAUAACAGGCUGAUACCGCCCAAGAGUUCAUAUCGACGGCGGUGUUUGGCACCUCGAUG
rnacentral:rRNA from 1 species